CUGCAGGCUGCGGCUUCAUGUCCUCUUUACGGUCGAACUCACUGCAUCACUGCGGUCCUACAGAAUUUGAACCCAGAGAAUCUGAGUCAGAUGGACCGAUGGAGAUUCCUGGUGUCAGAACUGAUUUCUAUCUGCUACAGAAUCUCUGCCGUGGUGUCUCCUGUGGUCCAAAGCACGUCCCCAGAGGGACUCAUCCCCAUGGAUGCUGACUCAGACACAUCAUCAAGUCUGCAGAAGAUUCUGCAGGAGAUCCAACCCAGAGACACAAACAACUUCUUCAGCAAUGUCAGAGAGCUGAACACGCAUCAAGGAGGUGAUCGCAGUCCGAUCCAGACCCCAAAUAGUCCGGUCCAGACCCCACAGCCUGC